GAUGGCGUAUAACUUGAAAGUUCAAUUUCGAUGGUCAUUUAAAUUGUUUCUAUAAUUUUGUAUGUUACAAAAUGAGUUCUAGAAGAUGGUUUUGGCCGACAAUUAGUGGAAUUGACGCAGAAAAAUUGUUAAUGGAAAGAGGGUUGGACUGCAGUUUUUUAGCACGACCUAGUUCUUCGAAUCCCGGUGAUUUUACUUUAUCUGUCAGACGCAAUGGAGAAGUGACUCAUAUCAAGAUCCAGAACUCUGGAGAUUUUUAUGACUUAUACGGGGGUGAGAAAUUCGCUACUCUCUCUGAAUUAGUUCAGUAUUAUACAGAGAAACAGGGACAAUUGAAGGAAAAGAAUGGUGAAAUUAUAGAACUCAAGUACCCUCUUAAUUGCGCUGAUCCUACUACUGAACGGUGGUUUCAUGGACAUUUAUCUGGAAAAGAAGCAGAAAAACUCAUAUUAGACAGAGGAAAGAAUGGUAGUUUUUUAGUUAGGGAAAGUCAAUCUAAACCAGGAGACUUCGUAUUAUCGGUACGAACAGACGACAAAGUCACGCAUGUGAUGAUAAGGUGUACACCGGAUAACAGAUACGACGUUGGAGGCGGCGAACAAUUUAACAGUCUCGCUGAUUUGAUAGAACAUUACAAAAGAAAUCCGAUGGUGGAAACUUCCGGUACAGUUGUUCAUCUGAAACAACCUUUUAACGCCACAAGAAUAAAUGCAUCUGGAAUCCAUUCUAGAGUGAAACAAUUGCAAAGUGACAAUGGUCCUAAUAGUUUUGGGAAAGCUGGAUUUUGGGAGGAAUUCGAGUCACUACAGCAACAGGAAUCGAAACAUUUAUAUCAUAGAAAGGAAGGUGUCAAACCGGAAAAUCGAAACAAAAACAGAUACAAAAACAUACUACCAUUUGAUAACACUCGGGUGAAACUUAAAGACGUAGAUCCGACUGUACCCGGAAGUGAUUAUAUCAACGCCAAUUACAUAAGAUGGAGAGUAGACGAAUCUAUCGGUUCCGAAUUGGGUGGUGAUCCAAGUGGUAAAGUCUACAUCGCCACCCAGGGUUGUCUACCUACUACUAUCGCUGAUUUUUGGCAGAUGGUAUGGCAAGAAAAUUGUCAAGUAAUCGUCAUGACCACCAAAGAGACGGAAAGAGGGAAAAACAAAUGUGCCAGAUAUUGGCCCGAUGUAAAUUGUACAAAAGAAUAUGAAAAAAUUAAAGUUAGGAAUUUGUUGGAGUCUCAUACAUUGCAUUAUACUUUGAGAGAAUUUUUAGUUAGUAUCGAAGGAUCAAAUUGUGAAAGGAAGGUGUUCCAUUAUCAUUUUCAGGCGUGGCCCGACCAUGGUGUACCUUCUGACCCAGGCUGUGUUUUAAAUUUUCUACACGAAGUGAAUAAACGUCAGGAAUCGUUACAAAUAGAAUCCCCGUUACAGCCCCCGGGGGCUAUUCUAGUGCAUUGUUCCGCUGGUAUCGGUCGCACGGGCACAUUUAUAGUAAUUGACAUGAUUUUGGACCAGUUGAAAAAAUAUGGUCUUGAUUGUGAAAUCGACAUCCAACGUACAAUUCAAAUGGUGAGAUCUCAACGUUCCGGAAUGGUACAGACUGAAGCACAAUAUAAAUUUGUUUACUUAGCAGUACAACAUCAUAUAGAAACUACUACAGAAAGAAUGAAGGCUGAACAAAAAUCCAUGCAACUCGGAAGAGAAUACACAAACAUAAGGUACAGUAAUGAUAUAGGAAAUAGUUGUAUGUCUCCAACAACACCCGGCGGUUUCGGAAGUAUUUCAUCACCAAAUAAUCAUCGUUGUAGUACAACCAGUAUCACAUGUCCCAGUGUUAAUUCGGUUACUUUGAGACAAGAUAUUAAGAAACCGCAGAGAGCUUUGUCCGAAAUAUCGUUGCCAAGGGUUGAAUUAGAAGUAGAAUGUUUCGUAUAGAUGCUCAUAUUAUCUACGUGGUCCUUAACAAAACUGACGAAAAUGCUGGCAAACUAUCUCAGAGAAUAUCAUAAAAUAUAUAUCACCCCCGGAUGAUUUAGUGAAACCUUCUCUAUACGAAAACAUUCCCGGUAAUCCUGCAGGAUCAAUAAUUUGUCCUGCGCCGCCCCCUCCGCCUAGAAAAGCCACGUGACCUAAGAAAAAAUUAACAUUAUAUUCCAGUUAUAUUUAUACCUUCCCGAUAUGUAAAGAAUGUAACUAGUAGUUGUUUAAAACUGUUUAUAAGUAUCCUUGAAUAAAUUAUUUUAUUUAUAUUGAGGUAAUUUUAAAAAGUGAAACUUGGAUUUUAUUAUUAUAAAAGGUGUCCCAAAAUUUACGCAAAAUUUGAAUUAAAUAGCUGGAUGUCCAUGAGGAUAUGAAUUUGUUAGCACAAGAAAUCCAAUUUAUUGAACAUCUGAAAUGACGGAGUACAUAGCUUUGAAAUUUCUGUAGCAAUAAUUGCAAUGUUUCAGAAUAAAGUUUUUCCAAUAAUACCAUCCAAACUAGGAAAAAAUAUUCAGUACUAAAAAUAUUCGUUUUUUAAACAACUUGUUUAUUGAAAUGUUUACUCUCAAUGACAGUUGGCUUCAAACGACAUUUAGUAUUUAUCAAGGAUGAACUUUUCAUCCCGGCGAGUGAAAAAAUACUAUACACACGACGAGAAAAAAGUACAAGAAAAUUCAAACAUUUUGUAGGUAGUUUCAACAUUUCAGUAAGGCCACAAUAUUGCGUGACGUCAUAGGUAUAAAAUAAACACUGAACAUAUGAUAUAAAAUAAAACGAUUCCCCCGGUUUUCUAAAAUAAGCGUUACUAUUAAACUUUAAUUAAUCUGAAAAAUGGUAUAUAAAUCGUGUUUUGUGCCAGGAUGUGAAAAUACCACGACUAAAACACCUGAUGAUGAUUUUUUUAUGAUUCCUAGAAAUUCGAAUAUACUACAAAAAUGGUUUGAAAGUGUUGGUAGUUUUGACGAUUAUUUUAAUGUAAGUAAGUUUGAAAUUCAACUUAUUUUUAUAUCUUAUAGUAAUUAAGUUUACUACGCUUUUAAUUUUCAACGAGAUUAUGUAAUAAUGCAAGAACUUAACCUAUAAAAGGUUUAUUCACUUAUACAUAGAAAAAUAUAUUAUUUAUACAUGACUAAUAAAUGAAAACUUUCUUGUAACAGCACACGCUAUGUUGACGGUAAUGAUAACCUCGUUAUCAUCAAUCUGACAACUGCUCAAUGUUUUUAUUAAACCUCUGACGUUACAAUUGAAAAGCAAUGAGAAUCGUUUUCUUAUGUAGUUGAAAAUUUGAAAUUUUUGCGAUUAUCAAUUAAAUAUCAAGUACUUAUAAAAUAAACAAAAAAAAAAUAAA